UACGUAGGCAGCAAGCGUUGUUCGGAAUUACUGGGCGUAAAGAGUGUGUAGGCGGUGUUCUAAGUCUGUUGUGAGAUCUCCCGGCUUAACUGGGAGGGUGCGGCGGAGACUGGAAUGCUAGAGUGUGGGAGAGGUAAGCGGAAUUCCUGGUGUAGCGGUGAAAUGCGUAGAUAUCGGGAGGAACAUCUGUGGCGAAGGCGACUACCUGGACCAGCACUGACACUGAGGCACGAAAGCGUGGGGAGCAAACAGG
rnacentral:rRNA from 1 species